GACGAACGCUGGCGGCGUGCUUAACACAUGCAAGUCGAACGAAGUGGCGAACGGGUGAGUAACGCGUAAUCAACCUGCCCUUCAGAGGGGGACAACAGUUGGAAACGACUGCUAAUACCGCAUACUGAAGCAGGGGUUGGAGUCUGAUUAGGUAGUUGGGGGGGAAACGGCCCACCAAGGCGAGGACCAGUAGCCGGUCUGGAGGGAUGAACGGCCACAUUGGGACUGAGACACGGCCCAGACUCCUACGGGAGGCAGCAGGGGGGAAUCUUCCGCAAUUGACGAAAGUCUGACGGAGCAACGCCGCGGGAGUGAUGACGGCCUUCGGGUUGUAAAGCUCUGUUAAUCGGGACGCGGUACCGGAAUAGAAAGCCACGGCUAACUACGUGCCAGCAGCCGCGGUAAUUC
rnacentral:rRNA from 1 species